AGAGGGAUGUACAAUGAUGCUAG
rnacentral:miRNA from 1 species